AUUGAACGCUGGCGGCAGGCCUAACACAUGCAAGUCGAACGGUAACAGGAAGCAGCUUGCUGCUUUGCUGACGAGUGGCGGACGGGUGAGUAAUGUCUGGGAAACUGCCUGAUGGAGGGGGAUAACUACUGGAACCUGUAGCUAAUACCGCAUAACGUCGCAAGACCAAAGAGGGGGACCUUCGGGCCUCUUGCCAUCGGAUGUGCCCAGAUGGGAUUAGCUAGUAUGUGGGGUAACGGCUCACCUAGGCGACGAUCCCUAGCUGGUCUGAGAGGAUGACCAGCCACACUGGAACUGAGACACGGUCCAGACUCCUACGGGAGGCAGCAGUGGGGAAUAUUGCACAAUGGGCGCAAGCCUGAUGCAGCCAUGCCGCGUGUAUGAAGAAGGCCUUCGGGUUGUAAAGUACUUUCAGCGGGGAGGAAGGGAGUAAAGUUAAUACCUUUGCUCAUUGACGUUACCCGCAGAAGAAGCACCGGCUAACUCCGUG
rnacentral:rRNA from 1 species